rnacentral:rRNA from 1 species
GUGGGGAAUAUUGGACAAUGGGCGAAAGCCUGAUCCAGCCAUGCCGCGUGUGUGAAGAAGGUCUUCGGAUUGUAAAGCACUUUAAGUUGGGAGGAAGGGCAGUAAGUUAAUACCUUGCUGUUUUGACGUUACCGACAGAAUAAGCACCGGCUAACUUCGUGCCAGCAGCCGCGGUAAUACGAAGGGUGCAAGCGUUAAUCGGAAUUACUGGGCGUAAAGCGCGCGUAGGUGGUUUUGUAAGUUGGAGGUGAAAUCCCCGGGCUCAACCUGGGAACUGCCUCCAAAACUGCAUGACUAGAGUACGGUAGAGGGUAGUGGAAUUUCCUGUGUAGCGGUGAAAUGCGUAGAUAUAGGAAGGAACACCAGUGGCGAAGGCGACUACCUGGACUGAUACUGACACUGAGGUGCAAAAGCGUGGGGAGCAAACAGGAUUAGAUACCCGGGUAGUCC